rnacentral:rRNA from 1 species
UACGUAGGUGGCAAGCGUUGUCCGGAUUUACUGGGCGUAAAGAGCGCGCAGGCGGUCGUUCAAGUCGCGUGUGAAAGCCCCCGGCUCAACUGGGGAGGGUCACGCGAUACUGAUCGACUCGAAGGCAGGAGAGGGAAGCGGAAUUCCCGGUGUAGUGGUGAAAUGCGUAGAUAUCGGGAGGAACACCUGCGGCGAAGGCGGGUUGCUGGGCUGAUACUGACGCUGAGGCGCGAAGGCGUGGGGAGCGAACGGG